ensembl:lncRNA
AUUUAAAACAAGAUGCAAAACAAGAUGCAAAACAAGAUGCAAAACAAGAUGCAAAACAAGAUGCAAAUGUUUUUUUUUAUCAACACGAAUGGUUAAAACUGAUAUUCCAACUGAUUAAUAAUAAUAAUUUUAUAUUAGCUGAAAAGUUGAUGGUUCUCAUUUUUAAAAAAGAGGAAAUGUUAUAUAAAAAAUUUUUAGAUAAAUCUGAAAACACAGGAACUGUAGAUGGUGGUAACAAUGGUUCAGGUGGUAACAAUGCGGAGAUAACUUUUUUUAUGAAACAAAUUGUGAAUAAUUGUCCACAAAACUGGCCAUUAUUAGAUAUAGGUAUACUUAUAAUAGCCACUCAAAUAGUUUGUUAUAUUUUCCAUAACAACAAAAUAAAUAUGUUUUAUGAUGGUUGUCGUAUUUUCGAAAAAUACUGUAUUCCUAUUUUGUUAAAUUCUUCUUUAUUUAGUUGUCAAAAAAAUGGAAACAAUAUAUUUAUGUUUGAACAUAUAUUUUUUUUUAAAAUUAUUAUAUGUACAAAUACAAAACCUACACCAGAAUUAAUAAAAUUUUCGAAUAAUUAUUUAUCAACUGAUUAUAUAAUGAAUGAAAAAACGAUUUUAGAUACAAUUUUUAUGGCAUUAGCAUAUUAUAUUACUGCUAGUCAUAAUUUGAUUAAUUAUGUUGCAAAUAACAACGUUGUUUAUUAUGUUAACUUAUUUCAACAAAAUGGUAGAGUAGGGAGUAUAAAAAAAGGAAAAAAAAAAAAAAACAACAAAUGUUAUGAUGGUAUUAGUAAGUCUGUUGGAGGUGUGGCUGGAGUUGGAGAUGUGGUUGGAGUUGGAGAUGUGGUUGGAGUUGGAGAUGUGGUUGAAAGUAUGGUUGAAAGUAUGGAUGAAAGUAUGGAUGAAAGUAUGGAUGAAAACCAUCCGAAUGGCUUAUCAGUCGUAAAAAACAAUCUUGAAUUAAGAAAUUACAAACCGACUGGUGUCAAACAUAGACAUUCUGAAAACAUGCAUAAUAAUAUGUUCAAAAAAAAAAAUAUUAACAUAAACAAUAAGAAAAGGAAAAAAACGUACGAAACGAGUAUUAAAAAACGAUUAAACAUAUUGAGAGCGAUUAAAUGUAUUAAUAAAUUGGAAAAACAGAAAAAAAAAAAACAAAAAAAAAGUCUAAAUGCGAUCAAAAAUACAACCAAAAAUGCAACCAAAAAUGCAACCAAAAAUGCAACCAAAAAUGCAACCGAAAAUGCAAUCGAAAAUGCAACCGAAAAUGCAAUCGAAAAUGCAACCAAAAAUGCAACCGAAAAUGCAAUCGAAAAUGCAACUGAAGAUGCAACUGAAGAUACAACCAAAAAUGAUAAUAAAAUAAGCCAAGUAAAUGGAAAACAGAAACCAUAUGAUAAAAUAAAUAUAUCCGAAUUGGAAUACAUGAAUAUUGAUGAAGAAGGUAAAACACAAACAUGUAUCAAACACAAAAGUGGAAAUCGUUAUAAUACACCCAAUAUUACUUGUUUCAAUACUAACAACAACAAUCGUAAUGAAAUAAAUUUCUUUUUAUUUCAAAACAGUAAAAUAAAUACAAUGGUUCGAUAUCAAACAGAUACAAUUUUUGAAAAAUUGUUUUUUUUAAUUAUGUUGGAAAUAUUUAAUUUAACAUUUGAUAAUCGAGACAGUGCUUUUGAAAAUAUUUUAAUUAUAAGAAGAUUUUAUCGUUUAUUUUUGAACAUAGCACAAAAAAGAUUUAUUGCAUUGUCAGUAUUCGUACAUGGUCGUACAUGUACAUCUUUUAAUAUGACUGGUACUGGUAAUAGUAAUGAUAAUGAUAAUGGUACUACUACAAGUAAUGACAAAAAAUUUAGAAACAAUAAUAAUAGUAGCAGUAGUAAUGUUAAUAAUAAUAUAAAUGUAUUUGUAAAUCCAAAUGAAAUAUAUACAACCGAAAAUAAUUUAAUAAAUAGUAAUAAUUUUCAAGACGAUAUUAUACAAAAAGCAAAACAAAUAAUACCUACCCCAAACAAACUUUAUGACAAUUAUUAUAACAUAUGGUUAUGGAUUGAGCGAAUCUGUUCAAACAUUUUUUACAAAAUUAACAAUAUGCUUUAUGAUACAUACAGUUGGGAUAAUAUCAACAAAAAUAAAAAAAAAAAUAAAGUAAAAAACAAAAUAAAAAAUAAAAUAAAUAUAAAUUAUGAUAAAAUCGAGUUGAUAAAUAAAAACAUAAAACGGUUAUCGUACUUACAAAAAUUUAAUUGCACCAUAUUAAAAAAGUAUUGGUAUAUUUUUGGGGUAGAAGAAAGACAGAAAGAGAUAGAAAUAUGGAAAGGAACAGAGGUAGAUGUAGAAGCAGAAGUAGAGGCAAAGAUAGCAUCAGAUAUAGAAACAGGGACAAAAGCAGAAACAGGGACAAAAGCAGAAACAGGGACAAAAGCAGAAACAGAGACAAAAGAAGAAGCAGAGACAAAAGAAGAAACAGAGACAAAAGAAGAAACAGAGACAAAGGCAAGUACAAAUGCAAGUGGAGGUGCAGAUUCACAUAGGGGAGGACCUAACCAUGAUCUUUUUACUACCAGUUUGAAUAGCACCUUUAAUGAUAGAACGUUAAACAAUCAUAUGUAUAACAAUAAUAAUAUUAACAAUAAUAAUAUUAACAAUAAUAAUAUUAAUAAUAAUAUUAAUAAUAGUAUUAAUAAUAGUAU